AACGAACGCUGGCGGCAUGCCUAACACAUGCAAGUCGAACGAGACCUUCGGGUCUAGUGGCGCACGGGUGCGUAACGCGUGGGAACCUGCCCUUAUGUUCGGAAUAACUCCCCGAAAGGGGUGCUAAUACCGGAUAAUGUCUUCGGACCAAAGAUUUAUCGCCUUUGGAUGGGCCCGCGUUGGAUUAGCUAGUUGGUAGGGUAAAAGCCUACCAAGGCGACGAUCCAUAGCUGGUCUGAGAGGAUGAUCAGCCACACUGGGACUGAGACACGGCCCAGACUCCUACGGGAGGCAGCAGUGGGGAAUAUUGGACAAUGGGCGAAAGCCUGAUCCAGCAAUGCCGCGUGAGUGAUGAAGGCAUUAGGGUUGUAAAGCUCUUUUAACCGGGAUGAUAAUGACGGUACCGGGAGAAUAAGCUCCGGCUAACUCCGUG
rnacentral:rRNA from 1 species